rnacentral:misc_RNA from 1 species
GAUGAAAACGCAGCGAAAUGCGAUAAGUAAUGCGAAUUGCAGAAUUCCAGUGAGUCAUCGAAUCUUUGAACGCACAUUGCGCCCUUUGGUAUUCCGAAGGGCAUGCCUGUUCGAGCGUCAUUAUCACCCCUCAAGCCCUCGGCUUGGUGUUGGACGGUUUGGUGGAGGCCCCCUCGGGGGCUCCUGCCCCUCCCAAAGACAAUGACGGCGGCCUCGUUGGACCCCCGGUACACUGAGUUCUUCACGGGACACGUAUCGGACACAUGGGUUUACGGGACACGGUCUGCCUCCCCUCAGGGAGAAUCUUUCUAAGGUUGACCUCGGAUCAGGUAGGGAUACCCGCUGAACUUAAGCAUAUCAAUAAGCGGAGGA